GCACAAGCGGUGGAGCAUGUGGCUUAAUUCGAUGCAACGCGAAGAACCUUACCUGGGCUUGACAUGUUCGGUCUACCUGCAGAGAUGUGGGGUGCUUUUGCGCCGUUCACAGGUGGUGCAUGGUUGUCGUCAGCUCGUGUCGUGAGAUGUUGGGUUAAGUCCCGCAACGAGCGCAACCCUCGUUCCAUGUUGCCAGCGCGUUAAGGCGGGGACUCAUGGGAGACUGCCGGGGUCAACUCGGAGGAAGGUGGGGAUGACGUCAAAUCAUCAUGCCCCUUAUGUCCAGGGCUGCACACAUGCUACAAUGGCCGGUACAGAGGGCUGCGAUACCGCAAGGUGGAGCGAAUCCCAAAAAGCCGGUCUCAGUUCGGAUCGGGGUCUGCAACUCGACCCCGUGAAGUCGGAGUCGCUAGUAAUCGCAGAUCAGCAACGCUGCGGUGAAUACGUUCCCGGGC
rnacentral:rRNA from 1 species